UCUCCGUUGGUGAACCAGCGGAGGGAUCAUUACCGAGUUUACAACUCCCAAACCCCUAUGUGAACGUUACCAAACUGUGGCCUCGGCGGGAAAUUCAUGCCCCGGGCGCGUCGCAGCCCCGGACCAAGGCGCCCGCCGGAGGACCAACCAAAACUCUUUUGUAUGUCCCUCGCGGACUUUUAUAAUUCUGAACCAUCUCGGCGCCCCUGGCGGGCGUUUCGAAAAUGAAUCAAACUUUCAACAACGGAUCUCUUGGUUCUG
rnacentral:misc_RNA from 1 species